rnacentral:rRNA from 1 species
CGGGACGGGUGAGUAAUGUCUGGGAAACUGCCCGAUGGAGGGGGAUAACUACUGGAAACGGUAGCUAAUACCGCAUAACGUCGCAAGACCAAAGAGGGGGACCUUCGGGCCUCUUGCCAUCGGAUGUGCCCAGAUGGGAUUAGCUAGUAGGUGGGGUAACGGCUCACCUAGGCGACGAUCCCUAGCUGGUCUGAGAGGAUGAUCAGCCACACUGGGACUGAGACACGGUCCAG